rnacentral:rRNA from 1 species
AACGAACGCUGGCGGCGUGCUUAACACAUGCAAGUCGAGCGGGAAACUUCGGUUUCCAGCGGCGGACGGGUGAGUAACACGUGGGCAACCUGCCUCACAAUGAGGGAUAGCCCUCCGAAAGGAGGAUUAAUACCUCAUAACACAAGAGAAACGCAUGUUUUUCUUGUCGAAGAAUUUCGUUGUGAGAUGGGCCCGCGGCGCAUUAGCUUGUUGGUGAGGUAACGGCUCACCAAGGCUUCGAUGCGUAGCCGACCUGAGAGGGUGAUCGGCCACAUUGGAACUGAGACACGGUCCAGACUCCUACGGGAGGCAGCAGUGGAGAAUAUUGCACAAUGGAGGAAACUCUGAUGUAGCAACGCCGCGUGAGUGAUGAAGGUCUUCGGAUUGUAAAGCUCUGUCUUCUGGGACGAUAAUGACGGUACCAGAGGAGGAAGCCACGGCUAACUACGUGCCAGCCGCCGCCGUAA